rnacentral:rRNA from 1 species
GCUUCCGUUGAAUGACGUGCUUGCACUGAUUUCAACAAUGAAGCGAGUGGCGAACUGGUGAGUAACACGUGGGGAAUCUGCCCAGAAGCAGGGGAUAACACUUGGAAACAGGUGCUAAUACCGUAUAACAACAAAAUCCGCAUGGAUUUUGUUUGAAAGGUGGCUUCGGCUAUCACUUCUGGAUGAUCCCGCGGCGUAUUAGUUAGUUGGUGAGGUAAAGGCCCACCAAGACGAUGAUACGUAGCCGACCUGAGAGGGUAAUCGGCCACAUUGGGACUGAGACACGGCCCAAACUCCUACGGGAGGCAGCAGUAGGGAAUCUUCCACAAUGGACGAAAGUCUGAUGGAGCAAUGCCGCGUGAGUGAAGAAGGGUUUCGGCUCGUAAAACUCUGUUGUUAAAGAAGAACACCUUUGAGAGUAACUGUUCAAGGGUUGACGGUAUUUAACCAGAAAGCCACGGCUAACUACGUGCCAGCAGCCGCGGUAAUACGUAGGUGGCAAGCGUUGUCCGGAUUUAUUGGGCGUAAAGCGAGCGCAGGCGGUUUUUUAAGUCUGAUGUGAAAGCCUUCGGCUUAACCGGAGAAGUGCAUCGGAAACUGGGAGACUUGAGUGCAGAAGAGGACAGUGGAACUCCAUGUGUAGCGGUGGAAUGCGUAGAUAUAUGGAAGAACACCAGUGGCGAAGGCGGCUGUCUAGUCUGUAACUGACGCUGAGGCUCGAAAGCAUGGGUAGCGAACAGGAUUAGAUACCCUGGUAGUCCAUGCCGUAA